rnacentral:lncRNA from 1 species
CGCUGCCCCAGUCUUCGACCUGCUGAUCCUUGGAUCCUGAAUCUGUGCAAACAGUAACGUGGACAUGAAAUUUACAAAGGGCCAUCGUUCAUCCAAGGCUGUUACCAUUUUAACGCUGCCUAAUUUUGCCAAAAUCCUGAACUUUCUCCCUCAUCGGCCCGGCGCUGAUUCCUCGUGUCCGGAGGCAUGGGUGAGCAUGGCAGCUGGUUGCUCCAUUUGAGAGACACGCUGGCGACACACUCCGUCCAUCCGACUGCCCCUGCUGUGCUGCUCAAGGCCACAGGCACACAGGUCUCAUUGCUUCUGACUAGAUUAUUAUUUGGGGGAACUGGACACAAUAGGUCUUUCUCUCAGUGAAGGUGGGGAGAAGCUGAACCGGCUUCCCUGCCCUGCCUCCCCAGCCCCCUGCCCAACCCCCAAGAAUCUGGUGGCCAUGGGCCCCGAAGCAGCCUGGCGGACAGGCUUGGAGUCAAGGGGCCCCAUGCCUGCUUCUCUCCCAGCCCCAGCUCCCCCGCCCGCCCCCAAGGACACAGAUGGGAAGGGGUUUCCAGGGACUCAGCCCCACUGUUGAUGCAGGUUUGCAAGGAAAGAAAUUCAAACACCACAACAGCAGUAAGAAGAAAAGCAGUCAAUGGAUUCAAGCAUUCUAAGCUUUGUUGACAUUUUCUCUGUUCCUAGGACUUCUUCAUGGGUCUUACAGUUCUAUGUUAGACCAUGAAACAUUUGCAUACACAUCGUCUUUAAUGUCACUUUUAUAACUUUUUUACGGUUCAGAUAUUCAUCUAUACGUCUGUACAG